GGCGGGAAAAAUUGUUCCUGACAGGUGCAUUUUUAUUUCAGCAUACAUAGAUGUUCAAAUCGAAAAGUCUGAUACAGACAUAUGUAGAUACAAUGGGUCGCGCACGUGGAUAGAUGAAUCAUUGCAGUCAACGACGGCCACCUGGCCUUCCCUUCGGGCCGGAAAGCUCCAAGCGAUUAGGUGGUUGAGGUACACGAAGACCGCGACCGUACUCCAGUUGGUCUUCCUGUGUCUUCGACUCUUGCAUAGGUGGUGGAGUCUGUAAUCCUUGUUGCGAACCUGAUGCAUAAUUGUAGGCGUAUGGUUGUCUUGACUCCUCGGGAAUAAAAGAUGGGCCAAUAACGUCCUCUCUGAAGAAAUCCGUUGUAACACCCCGGUGUAAUGAUGCUACAGUAACCCCUGGGGUUAAGUUAAUCUUUUUGCUAAACAUGUGCCUGAUCAUUAUUGUCUCAUGUUCUUUCACAUUCCAGUUGAAUUCAAAUUCAAAUUUUGUCUGAAAUUCAAAAUGCUCAGACAUGAAAACAAAAAUGUUCAUCAUGUGCAGAAUAAUCCACAACUAAUAUUGGUGGUGAACCAACAUUUUUGCAAAAAGGUUUGAGUGGCCUAAGCUACUUCAAACAGUGGCCUAAGAAAUAAAUUAAAUGCCUUUUUAAUUUAUGAAAAUGGCAAACUAUUUCUAAAGCCUCACAAUCUUUUUUUUGGGCAGUGCCUAAUAAUUCUUUGAGAUUAUUUUGUCCAAUGGCAUAAUCUUUUGCAAAGUCUUUAUUGGCUAAAAGAAAAAAAAAAAGAAAAUGCAAAAGCUAUUUACAAAAAAAAGGAAAAGAAGAGGGGGUGGGAGAGCCCUGGCCUCCCCUUGGGCCUCGGCGACCCAUAGCCCCUGCCCCCCCUUGGCCCCCAACCAGCCCAGCCGGCCCAACCUCCCCGGUCGCUCUCCCCUCCCUCCUNNNNNNNNNNNNNNNNNNNNNNNNNNNNNNNNNNNNNNNNNNNNNNNNNNNNNNNNNNNNNNNNNNNNNNNNNNNNNNNNNNNNNNNNNNNNNNNNNNNNNNNNNNNNNNNNNNNNNNNNNNNNNNNNNNNNNNNNNNNNNNNNNNNNNNNNNNNNNNNNNNNNNNNNNNNNNNNNNNNNNNNNNNNNNNNNNNNNNNUCGCCGCCCGACCACCUCGCCGGCAACGCCGCGGGUGGAUAAGGGCCCCUCCCCUCGACGCCUCGACCUCCUCCCCACCUACCUCCACCCACUCCCCUGCUCGCCCUCUCCGCUCUCUCCCUCACUCUCCAGAUCCCCUCCCCACCUCAACCGAGCGCCGCCGUCGCCAUGGCUGCGCCAUAGCCGCGGCCACCGGCCACCCCGCGUCGUCUGCGCAUGUCAAGUAGCGCCGGCGCCUUCACCUAUGUUGCCUAUGCCCUUGGAUCGGAGCGGGGGAGCUCCACUGUCGCCGCACGCAUCGUCUUCUUCCUCGACGGCCGCUGGCGAUCCCCUUCUUCCCCGACGACAUUCUGCAGCUCCUAAACCUCCGAGGGCCACAGUGUGUGCCGCCCGGUGAGCUCCUCCCUUCCUUCUUUCCUCUCCUCGCGCCGUGCCUUUCGCCGUAGCCAGCUCGCCCGCAAGCCGAGCUCCGCCGUCCGCCAUUGCCGUCGUAGGGCUCGCCACCGAGCUCCUCCGCUCGAGCUAGUAGCUCCGACGAGCUCCUGGAGCGCCGUAGACCUCGCCCAGCUCCUUCGUUUGCCAAAACACGCACUGCAAUGCCGAUCCCGACGAGGUCCCGAACCCCACCGCCGCCUCCACUCGUCGCCGACGCAGUUCCGGUCACCCCCGCGUCCAACCGACCACACCAUGCGGCGCGGCUUCGUCUUCUCGUUCGAACGCGCCAAGUCCCGGGCCAAAUGACCCCCUGUGCGCGAUUCCCGGCGAAGUCCGGCGAGCCCCGCCUCUGUUUUGGUCGCCGGCGGCGAAACCCCGACACGGCCGACGUGGCACACCUGGGCCCCGCCUCUGGGUCACUGCCCGUGGGCCCCCUAGCCCCAGUAGACCACGUUGACCGUGGUCAACUGUGCUGACUGGGCACACAGUGUCUCUGACACGCGGGCCCCAUCGCAUAUUUUGUUAAAUAAACGUUUUUUUUCUAAAUAAAAAUGAUUAAUUAAAACGUUAGUUAAAUUAGUUAGUUAGUUAGUACUAACCAGUCACUGACUGCUGGGGCCCACGCCCCCUAACUAACCCUGUUAGCUUAGUUAAGCCUCUGUUAGACAGAGAGGCUGACAGGUGGGUCCCACCUGUCAGUUUGACUGGUCAGCAGAGCUGACGCAAUGCUGACGUCACUACUGACGCAAUAAACCUUUUCUGCUUUUAAAAUAAUUCAGAAAUUGGUUUAAACUUUGAAAAUCCGUAACUUUUAAACCGUAGCUCGGAUCGUAAAAGUUUAUAUAUGAAAAACGCCCAGAAAAACGAGACGAAUCCAGAUAUGCGCUCCGUUUACCUGUCAGAAGCCUAUAACUAUCUGAACAUGGAACAUUCCCCCUCAUGUCAACUGUUUGACAUAGGCCCGGAACCGGGAAUACAUUUCCGGUUGAAUUCUCCCUUCACCUAUAUCAUGUAGCCAUACGUUAGGUCACACCCGGCACAGCAUAUUGCCACGUUAUGCUUUGUGAUGCUAUGUUUGCUUUAUAUUUACUGUUUCUCCCCCCUCUUCUCUCCGGUAGACCCCAAGACCGAUGCCGAUGCCCCUGUGAUCGACUACGUCGACAACGACCCCCUCCUUGCCAGAGCAACCAGGCAAGCCCCCCCUUUGAUCAUCCCGAUAUCGCCCAUUCCAUUCUCUCAUGCUUGCAUUAGAUUUUGCUACUGUUAUUGUAUGCUCCUAUUCUGAUGCAUAGCCUGCUUUUGUACCUGUUAUUGUACCUUACCUGCUUAUCCUAAUCUGCUUAGUAUAGGUUGGUUAGUGAUCCAUCAGUGACCCCCACCUUGUCCUUGUUGCCCCUGCUUCAUCAUUGAAGACCCGUUCAACGGGAUUGAAGACCAGGCCCCGGCACCGCACAUCACUUUCCCCUUAGUUGCUCGACACUGCUGGGUUACUAUCGAGUGCCGAGGGUGAGACCUCUACAGCACUUCUGAUGUUAACCUAUAGUGUAGCUAUUCGGUCGUGGUCAUCGAGGGUGAUUUCCUCCUUAACCACUUCCGAUACGGCUCUGUCGUGCAACCCCUCAAGUGUGAACCUCGAGGGUGAUUCCUCUACGUUCACCUUGAUGAUUACAUUGAGUGGAACCCACCGGGGGUGAUUCCUUGGGUUUUCCUCUUGAUGUUUGGACACACGGAUACUGGACUUUACAACUGUUACUUGGAAAGAGAUGUGGAGACGGGUUGACCUGGAAGGUGCCCGUGAGAUAAUUACGAGGCGUGGCCGGGCAUUCUUAGCCCUUGCCGCAAGUCCUCGAGACGGGGCAACGGGGUCACCUCUUUCGUGGGUCUCUGCUUGUUACCGCGCGUUCCUAAUCCACUACGAUUUGGAUAUUUGAUCCGAGGGGCCUCUGGCCUGAUAGCACUAACCAUCACGUGGGCAUAGUAUGGGCGUUCUGCAUCGUAUACAUCAGCCAAAGCUUAAUAGACGUCAGCGACUGAGUGGCGCGCGCCGGGUUGGACUGCGCAAGCGCCUGCCUUGUUGAAGGAGGUAGCUAGGUCUGCUCACCGGCCGCGUACGCAACGUGCAGGAGUUUCCGGGGAGAUGGCCCAUGACCCCUGGGGGCAUAGGUUUAGUCCGGCGUGCUGACCUCUCUGUUAAGUCUAGGUCGGGUUGCGGCGUAUUGUUUGGCCGAGGCCGGGCAUGACCCUGGAAAGUGUGUCCGGCCGGAGUUAAGCGAGCGUGGUGGGUAAGUUGGUGCACCCCUACAGGGAAGAAAACAUCUAUCGAUAGCCUGUCCUACGGUAACGGACACUUGGAGUUGUAUCCCGAUCGAUACAACUAGAACUGGAUACUUGUGAUGAGAACUGGAUGGUGAUGAGGAUUUGAUUGUGAUGAUAACUGGAUAGUAUGGCUCUGGGAUUUCUUUCUCGCAGGGAGUCGAGAAAGGAUCUCUGGCCGAGGUUGAUAACACCACUGCUACUUUACCUUAUGCUACUCUACUUCCUCCUGUUGCUGCAAGAUGGCGGGUUCGAGAAGAUGCUAGUCUUUGAUAGGACUAGGCCUUCUCUCUAUUCUGGCAUUUCUGCAGCCCAGUCCACAUAUAUAGCCUUCCUUUGAUAAUGUUGCAUAUGUAAUGUAGAUCCUUGCUUGCGAGUACUUUGGAUGAGUACUCACGGUUGCUUUGCUCCCCUUUUCCCCCCUUUCUUUUCUUUCUGGUUGAUGCAACCAGAUGUCGGAGCCCAGGAGCCAGAUGCCACCGCCGGUGCCUACUACUACGUGGAGACCGCUGACGACCAGGAGUAGUUAGGAGGCUCCCAGGCAGGAGGCCUUGCCUUUUCGAUCGUUGUUGUUUUGUGCUAGCCUUCUUAAGGCAAACUUGUUUAACUCAUGUCUGUACUCAGAUAUUGUUGCUUCCGAUGACUCGUUUGUAUUCAAGCUGAUGUAUUCGAGCCCUCGAGGCCCCUGGCUUGUAAUAUAAAGCUUGUAUUAUUUUAAUUUGUGUCUAGAGUUGUGUUGUGAUAUCUUCCCGUGAGUCCUUGAUCUUGAUCGUACACAUUUGCGUGUAUGAUUAGUGUACGAUUGGAUCGAGGGCGUCACAAGUUGGUAUCAGAGCCGAUUGCCUGUAGGUAGCCCCCUUUCCAACUCCUUGGCCGAAGUUGAGUCUAGUCGUCCAAAAUUGUUUUACUAACUUGGCUGUGUGGCUUACGGGCCCACGUCGCCAUAUGGGUGGUAUUAGGAUCUUUUACUCCUCGUCUAUACUCUGGGACUCUGAACUCUCUUCUACUCGGGUUAAAUGAAUUUACUAACAUUAGGAUCCCGUGACCACAUUCACCCCGAAGUUGGAUGAAGCCAUAGUUAUUCCUUAGAAUAGCUUUUUGAGUAGUGCACACCCCGUCGUGUUGACUACGGAGUGGAAUCCAUCGUACCUCCUUCAUUAUGCAUGUUUUCAUCAUGACUGAUCCUUAUCUUUGCAAAUGCUCAAUGCUGAACUACCCCUGUUACAUGUUAGCAGGAUGGUUAGACCCGCUGGUCGUGGCUGUGGUGCCAACGACCCACCACCGCCUGAAUUCUUUACUGGAAUGAGGCAACAGUUUGAGUUAACUCGCCAGUUCAUGGAAGGAAUGAUGGCUCAGUUUCCUCGUCCGAACAUGAAUCAACAUCCAACCCGAGUAACUCUGCAGGACUUCAUGCGCCUCAACCCAUCUAUCUACCGCAGCUCAACUCAACCCCUUGAUGCUGAUGACUGGCUCCGCGACAUCACAUAUGAAAUGGAGUCUGCUAGUGUUGCCCCUGCCAGCUAUGUCACCUUCGCAUCUUUCUUUCUGAAGGGUCCUGCUGCUCAAUGGUGGGACAGCCUCAGGCGUACCCUACCUGCUGGAACGGUCAUUACUUGGCCGGAUUUCCAAGCUGCCUUCCGUGCCCGUUUCAUUCCUCAGGGAACCAUGGACAGGAAGAAGCGAGAGUUCCGCAACCUCACCCAAGGCAACAAGACUGUAGAUGCUUAUCAACGGGAAUUUCUGGACUUGUCGCGUUAUGCUGAAGAAGACAUUGCAAUUGAUGCUCGUAAGCAAGAGAAGUUUCGUGAUGGACUUCACCCUGAUAUUAAGCUAGCAUUGCUCGUUCAUGACUUUGCCGACUUCGCCACCCUGGUGAACAAGGCUAUUCAGGUUGAGACUGGUCUUCAGGAACACCAGGGAUCCCUCAGGCGUAGCCGUGAUGCUGGCCCAUCUUCGGGCCCGUCAGCGCAGAAGCGUCGGAUAUGGAUUCCCCACAGCAUGUAUCGUCCAACUGCACCUGCACCAAGACAGUCCUAUGUUGCACCUCGUCUGCCUCCUCAACCGCAGAGGCAGCCCCUUCGGGCUGUACCACCCCAAGCUUCUGCUCCCAAUCCCAAUGAUGGUUUGUGCUUCAAGUGUGGCCUUCCAGGUCACCGCUCCAGGAAAUGCCCUCAGAAUCAGAAUCAGCUGGCUCUGUCUUCAACUGACCGUAACAAUCACCCCCAUAACAACAAUGCCAGACCUUAUGGUCGUGGUCAGGCUAAUCAUAUUGAUCUGAAUGAAGCUCAAGACCAGCCUGCCACUGUGAUGGGUACUCUCCUUGUUAAUUUAGUACCAGCUUCUGUUUUGUUUGAUUCAGGAGCAUCACAUUCAUUCAUGUCAGAAAAUUUUGCUUACGCACAUGACAUUCGAUGCGAGCCCAUGAACACUCCGAUAGUGGUACGCACCCCUACGGGCCGAUGUCAAACUACCAUGAUUGGUCGUGACGUUCCUGUUGAAAUUGAAGGGUUGGAAUUCCUUGUUUCUCCCAUUAUUCUGGAGUCUUCCAAUAUUGACCUCAUUCUGGGAAUGGAAUGGUUGAAAGCGCAUACUGCCUCUAUCGUUUGCGCUACCAAGGUCGUUCACCUCCUACAUCCUUCAGAUGAGAUUGUAACCUACCAUGCUCAGCUUGUUCAAAACGCUGAAGCACGACUUUAUGCUUUGAAUGCGUUGAACGCGGCACCUCUUGAGGGAAUUGAAAAGAUUCCAGUCGUUCGCUACUUCCAAGACGUAUUUCCAGAAGAACUUCCAGGAAUACCCCCUGCCCGGGCUGUCGAGUUCGUCAUCGACUUGAAACCAGGCACCGUUCCUAUUGCAAAACGACCCUACAAGAUGCCACCUCAUGAACUCCUUGAGCUUAAGGAGGAAAUCAACAAAUCUCUUCACAAGGGUUUCAUUCGUCCAAGUUCCUCUGCUUGGGGAGCACCUUCUCUCUUCGUCAAGAAGAAGGACGGUACGAACCGUUUGGUCCAAGACUAUUGUCCUAUCAACCAAGCUACAAUUCAAAACAAAUAUCCCCUUCCUCAGAUCAAUGAUCUGUAUGAUCAACUGGCUGGUUCAUCGAUAUUCUCUAAACUCGACAUGAGGUUGGGUUACCACCAGAUCCGUGUUCGUGAAGAGGAUAUUCCAAAGACCGCAUUUGUGACUCGUUAUGGUUCUUACGAGUACACCGUCAUGUCAUUCGGUUUAACCAAUGCUCCAGCUACAUUCUCUCGUCUGAUGAACUAUAUAUUCAUGGAUUACCUCAACAAGUUCGUCGUAGUCUAUCUGGAUGAUAUACUGGUAUAUUCGAAGAAUAAAGAAGAACAUGCUGAACAUCUUCGUCUUGUUCUGGAGAAGCUUCGAGAGCAUCAACUUUAUGCCAAGUAUUCCAAGUGUGAAUUCUGGUUACCCGAAGUCACCUACCUUGGUCAUGUUAUCUCCAAGGAUGGUAUUGCCGUCAGCCCAGAGCGCGUUCAGGCUAUUCUUGACUGGACCCCUCCAAAGACUGUCAAGCAAGUCAGAAGCUUUCUCGGACUGGCCAGCUAUUGUUGCCGCUUUGUCGAGAACUUCUCCAAGAUCGCCAAGCCACUGACUAAUCUGCUUCACAAAGGCGUUAAGUUCGAUUGGACAGACAAAUGUCAGGAAAGUUUCCAGGCACUCAAGGAUAAACUGACUUCUGCCCCAGUGCUUGCUCCCCCUGAUUCUCGCAAGGACUUUGUCAUCUAUUGUGACGCUUCACGUCAAGGAUUAGGCUGUGUUCUAAUGCAAGAGCGCAGGGUGAUUGCCUAUGCCUCCCGUCAAGUGCGUCCUCACAAAGAAAACUACCCGGUUCAUGACCUUGAGCUUGCAGCGGUUAUCUUUGCAUUGAAGCUAUGGCGACAAUACCUUCUCGGUAAUCGUUGUGAGAUCUUCACUGAUCAUCAGAGUCUGAAGUACCUGUUUACUCAGCCAGAUCUGAACCUCCGUCAGCAGCGAUGGAUGGAAGCUAUUGCUGACUACAACUGCGGUAUAUCUUAUACACCUGGCAAGGCUAAUGUAAUGGCCGAUGCCCUAAGCCGAAAGUCUUAUUGCAAUAAUCACCAGGUCUACAAAGCUCAACCCCGCCUUUAUGAAGAGCUAUGCAAGCUGAACCUUCAACUAGUUCCACAGGGUUCUCUGAAUAACCUUGUUUUGGAACCAACUCUUCUGAAAGCAAUCAGGUCUGCUCAAGCCAAAGAUGCUCAUGUUGAUCUGAUGAAAAGGGAUCUUGCCUUAGAGAAAUCCAGAGAUUUCUCACUUGGUGAAGAUGGAACCUUAUACUUCAGAGAUCGCAUUGUCGUACCCCGGUUCGAGCUUAUGACAGAGAAGGUGAUGAAAGAAGCGCAUGACACCCCUCUCUCUAUUCAUCCGGGAAGUACCAAGAUGUAUCUUGACAUCCGUCAGAAGUACUGGUGGUCUAAGAUGAAGCAAGACAUUGCUCGAUAUAUUGAAGAAUGUGACGUUUGUCGUCGCGUCAAAGCAGAACAUCAAAAACCGGCUGGACUUCUACAACCGCUUCCGAUUCCUGAAUGGAAGUGGGAUAAGAUCCAAAUGGACUUCGUCACUGGCCUUCCCAAGUCUCAGAAAGGUAACGAUGCUAUCUUUGUCGUCAUCGACCAAUUCUCGAAGGUUGCUCACUUUCUGCCAGUCAAGGAGACUAUCACUGCUAGUAAAUUGGCAACCUUGUAUAUCUCCCGAAUUGUGUCACUCCACGGCAUUCCGAAGGAGAUCAGUUCAGACCGCGGCAGUAUUUUCACUUCUAAGUUCUGGGAUAGUUUCCAAGAGGCAAUGGGAACUCAUAUUACCUGGAGCACUGCUUAUCAUCCCCAAUCCCAAGGCCAAGUCGAGCGAGUCAAUCAAAUUCUUGAAGACAUGCUUCGAGCUUGUGUUAUUUCUUUCGGCAAGAAGUGGGAAGAAUCUCUCCCUUAUGCGGAGUUCUCUUAUAACAACAGCUAUCAAGCCAGCUUGAAGAUGGCACCCUUUGAAGUGCUUUAUGGACGUAAGUGCCGAACCCCUCUGAAUUGGUCAGAAACUGGGGAACGAGCACUCAUUGGUCCGUACAUUAUUCAACAAGCUGAAGAGCAGGUUCGCAUUGUCCGGGAUAAUCUCAAGGCGGCCCAAUCCCGCCAGAAGAGCAACUAUGACCGGAAACACUGGGGUUCAACUUAUCAACCUGGUGAACAAGCUUAUCUGCGUGUCACUCCUUUGAGAGGCACUCAUCGGUUCGGAGUCAAGGGAAAGUUAGCUCCUCGCUACAUUGGUCCCUUCCGUAUUCUCGCCCGUCGUGGACUGGUGGCUUAUCAACUGGAGUUGCCACCUCAGUUCUCUCACGUUCAUGACGUCUUCCAUGUGUCGCAACUUCGUCGAUGCUUCAAGGAUCCGGAACGUGAAGUGGAUCCGGAAUUGGUUGAAAUUCAAGAUGAUCUCACAUACAAGGAGCAUCCGAUCUGCAUUCUUGAAGAAGCUGAACGUCGAACCCGCCAGAAGGUUACUAAGUUCCUCAAGGUGCAAUGGUCGAAUCAUACUAAAGAGGAAGCCACUUGGGAACGCGAAGAUAACCUCCGGGCUGAAUACCCCGAUCUUUUCCCUUCUACCUCUUAAUUCUCGGGACGAGAAUUUCUUUUAGAGGAGGAGAGUUGUAACACCCCGGUGUAAUGAUGCUACAGUAACCCCUGGGGUUAAGUUAAUAUUUUUGCUAAACAUGUGCCUGAUCAUUAUUGUCUCAUGUUCUUUCACAUUCCAGUUGAAUUCAAAUUCAAAUUUUGUCUGAAAUUCAAAAUGUUCAGACAUGAAAACAAAAAUGUUCAUCAUGUGCAGAAUAAUCCACAACUAAUAUUGGUGGUGAACCAACAUUUUUGCAAAAAAGUUUGAGUGGCCUAAGCUACUUCAAACAGUGGCCUAAGAAAUAAAUUAAAUGCCUUUUUAAUUUAUGAAAAUGGCAAACUAUUUCUAAAGCCUCACAAUCUUUUUUUUGGGCAGUGCCUAAUAAUUCUUUGAGAUUAUUUUGUCCAAUGGCAUAAUCUUUUGCAAAGUCUUUAUUGGCUAAAAGAAAAAAAAAGAAAAUGCAAAAGCUGUUUACAAAAAAAAAGGAAAAGAAGAGGGGGUGGGAGAGCCCUGGCCUCCCCUUGGGCCUCGGCGACCCACAGCCCCCUGCCCCCCCUUGGCCCCCAACCAGCCCAGCCGGCCCAACCUCCCCGGUCGCUCUCCCCUCCCUCCUGUUCCCCCGGUGCGCACCGCUACAGGGGCGCGUCGCCGCCCGACCACCUCGCCGGCAACGCCGCGCUUGGAUAAGGGCCCCUCCCCUCGACGCCUCGACCUCCUCCCCACCUACCUCCACCCACUCCUCUGCUCGCCCUCUCCGCUCUCUCCCUCACUCUCCAGAUCCCCUCCCCACCUCAACCGAGCGCCGCCGUCGCCAUGGCUGCGCCAUAGCCGCGGCCACCGGCCACCCCGCGUCGUCUGCGCAUGUCAAGUAGCGCCGGCGCCUUCACCUAUGUUGCCUAUGCCCUUGGAUCGGAGCGGGGGAGCUCCACUGUCACCGCACGCAUCGUCUUCUUCCUCGACGGCCGCUGGUGAUCCCCUUCUUCCCCGACGACAUUCUGCAGCUCCUAAACCUCCGAGGGCCAUCGUGUGUGCCGCCCGGUGAGCUCCUCCCUUCCUUCUUUCCUCUCCUCGCGUCGUGCCUUUCGCCGUAGCCAGCUCGCCCGCAAGCCGAGCUCCGCCGUCCGCCAUUGCCGUCGUAGGGCUCGCCACCGAGCUCCUCCGCUCGAGCUAGUAGCUCCGACGAGCUCCUGGAGCGCCGUAGACCUCGCCCAGCUCCUUCGUUCGCCAAAACACGCACUGCAACACCGAUCCCGACGAGGUCCCGAACCCCACCGCCGCCUCCACUCGUCGCCGACGCAGUUCCGGUCACCCCCGCGUCCAACCGACCACACCAUGCGGCGCGGCUUCGUCUUCUCGUUCGAACGCGCCAAGUCCCGGGCCAAAUGACCCCCUGUGCACGAUUCCCGGCGAAGUCCGGCGAGCCCCGCCUCUGUUUUGGUCGCCGACGGCGAAACCCCGACGCGGCCGACGUGGCACACCUGGGCCCCGCCUCUGGGUCACUGCCCGUGGGCCCCCCUGGCCCCAGUUGACCACGUUGACCGUGGUCAACUGUGCUGACUGGGCACACAGUGUCUCUGACACGCGGGCCCCAUCGCAUAUUUUGUUAAAUAAACGUUUUUUUCUAAAUAAAAAUGAUUAAUUAAAACGUUAGUUAAAUUAGUGAGUUAGUUAGUACUAACCAGUCACUGACUGCUGGGGCCCACGCCCCCUAACUAACCCUGUUAGCUUAGUUAAGCCUCUGUUAGACAGAGAGGCUGACAGGUGGGUCCCACCUGUCAGUUUGACUGGUCAGCAGAGCUGACGCAAUGCUGACGUCACUACUGACGCAAUAAACCUUUUCUGCUUUUAAAAUAAUUCAGAAAUUGGUUUAAACUUUGAAAAUCCGUAACUUUUAAACCGUAGCUCGGAUUGUAAAAGUUUAUAUAUGAAAAACGCCCAGAAAAACGAGACGAAUCCAGAUAUGCGCUCCGUUUACCUGUCAGAAGCCUAUAACUAUCUGAACAUGGAACAUUCCCCCUCAUGUCAACUGUUUGACAUAGGCCCGGAACCGGGAAUACAUUUCCGGUUGAAUUCUCCCUUCACCUAUAUCAUGUAGCCAUACGUUAGGUCACACCCGGCACAGCAUAUUGCCACGUUAUGCUUUGUGAUGCUAUGUUUGCUUUAUAUUUACUGUUUCUCCCCCCUCUUCUCUCCGGUAGACCCCAAGACCGAUGCCGAUGCCCCUGUGAUCGACUACGUCGACAACGACCCCCUCCUUGCCAGAGAAACCAGGCAAGCCCCCCCUUUGAUCAUCCCGAUAUCGCCCAUUCCAUUCUCUCAUGCUUGCAUUAGAUUUUGCUACUGUUAUUGUAUGCUCCUAUUCUGAUGCAUAGCCUGCUUUUGUACCUGUUAUUGUACCUUACCUGCUUAUCCUAAUCUGCUUAGUAUAGGUUGGUUAGUGAUCCAUCAGUGACCCCCACCUUGUCCUUGUUGCCCCUGCUUCAUCAUUGAAGACCCGUUCAACGGGAUUGAAGACCAGGCCCCGGCACCGCACAUCACUUUCCCCUUAGUUGCUCGACACUGCUGGGUUACUAUCGAGUGCCGAGGGUGAGACCUCUACAGCACUUCUGAUGUUAACCUGUAGUGUAGCUAUUCGGUCGUGGUCAUCGAGGGUGAUUUCCUCCUUAACCACUUCCGAUACGGCUCUGUCGUGCAACCCCUCAAGUGUGAACCUCGAGGGUGAUUCCUCUACGUUCACCUUGAUGAUUACAUUGAGUGGAACCCACCGGGGGUGAUUCCUUGGGUUUUCCUCUUGAUGUUUGGACACACGGAUACUGGACUUUACAACUGUUACUUGGAAAGAGAUGUGGAGACGGGUUGACCUGGAAGGUGCCCGUGAGAUAAUUACGAGGCGUGGCCGGGCAUUCUUAGCCCUUGCCGCAAGUCCUCGAGACGGGGCAACGGGGUCACCUCUUUCGUGGGUCUCUGCUUGUUACCGCGCGUUCCUAAUCCACUACGAUUUGGAUAUUUGAUCCGAGGGGCCUCUGGCCUGAUAGCACUAACCAUCACGUGGGCAUAGUAUGGGCGUUCUGCGUCGUAUACAUCAGCCAAAGCUUAAUAGACGUCAGCGACUGAGUGGCGCGCGCCGGGUUGGACUGCGCAAGCGCCUACCUUGUUGAAGGAGGUAGCUAGGUCUGCUCACCGGCCGCGUACGCAACGUGCAGGAGUUUCCGGGGAGAUGGCCCAUGACCCCUGGGGGCAUAGGUUUAGUCCGGCGUGCUGACCUCUCUGUUAAGUCUAGGUCGGGUUGCGGCGUAUUGUUUGGCCGAGGCCGGGCAUGACCCUGGAAAGUGUGUCCGGCCGGAGUUAAGCGAGCGUGGUGGGUAAGUUGGUGCACCCCUGCAGGGAAGAAAACAUCUAUUGAUAGCCUGUCCUACGGUAACGGACACUUGGAGUUGUAUCCCGAUCGAUACAACUAGAACUGGAUACUUGUGAUGAGAACUGGAUGGUGAUGAGGAUUUGAUUGUGAUGAUAACUGGAUAGUAUGGCUCUGGGAUUUCUUUCUCGCAGGGAGUCGAGAAAGGAUCUCUGGCCGAGGUUGAUAACACCACUGCUACUUUACCUUAUGCUACUCUACUUCCUCCUGUUGCUGCAAGAUGGCGGGUUCGAGAAGAUGCUAGUCUUCGAUAGGACUAGGCCUUCUCUCUAUUCUGGCAUUUCUGCAGCCCAGUCCACAUAUAUAGCCUUCCUUUGAUAAUGUUGCAUAUGUAAUGUAGAUCCUUGCUUGCGAGUACUUUGGAUGAGUACUCACGGUUGCUUUGCUCCCCUUUUCCCCCCUUUCUUUUCUUUCUGGUUGAUGCAACCAGAUGUCGGAGCCCAGGAGCCAGAUGCCACCGCCGGUGCCUACUACUACGUGGAGACCGCUGACGACCAGGAGUAGUUAGGAGGCUCCCAGGCAGGAGGCCUUGCCUUUUCGAUCGUUGUUGUUUUGUGCUAGCCUUCUUAAGGCAAACUUGUUUAACUCAUGUCUGUACUCAGAUAUUGUUGCUUCCGCUGACUCGUUUGUAUUCAAGCUGAUGUAUUCGAGCCCUCGAGGCCCCUGGCUUGUAAUAUAAAGCUUGUAUUAUUUUAAUUUGUGUCUAGAGUUGUGUUGUGAUAUCUUCCCGUGAGUCCUUGAUCUUGAUCGUACACAUUUGCGUGUAUGAUUAGUGUACGAUUGGAUCGAGGGCGUCACAUCCGUAUCUACUGCGUUAACAUUGUCGCCAGGUUGGGUGUACUCAUCGUUCCAAUUUACAUCAGGUAUGCCGUGCACAUAGAAACAUUGUAAACAAAAACUGUUAGAGGAUAAUAUGUAAUAUCACCGUAAAUGCAUUAAAAUGUAAACAUGACUACCUGAUCAGAUCCCUUGCCUGUACUGUCUGGACAUUCUACCUGGUACUGGUUUAAAUCUGGGACACGAGUCUCCUCGGGCAUGGAGAUCCCUCGCGUGAAGAGAUACGGCUGAGAUCCCUCACCUUGAGUGUAUGUGCCAUAUCUUGUGUAUGCAUAUGGGUUUGGGGAAAGAUACAGCUCGGGCAUCGAAUCCAAGCCCAUGCCAUGGUCCUGCGAUGUCUGCCCCUAACGAAGCAGCACCGAAGAAGAGCGAUGUAGUGGCAGAGAAGACUCAUGUCGUGGCAAUGUCGUUGUAGUACUCGGACCCUCCCCCCACUGCCCAUGGCUUGUACACGCCUUGCUC
rnacentral:lncRNA from 1 species